UAGGGAAUCUUCGGCAAUGGACGGAAGUCUGACCGAGCAACGCCGCGUGAGUGAAGAAGGUUAUCGGAUCGUAAAGCUCUGUUGUUAGAGAAGAACGUUGGUAGGAGUGGAAAAUCUACCAAGUGACGGUAACUAACCAUAAAGGGACGGCUAACUACGUACCAGCAGCCGCGGUAAUACGUAGGUCCCGAGCGUUGUCCGGAUUUAUUGGGCGUAAAGCGAGCGCAGGCGGUUCUUUAAGUCUGAAGUUAAAGGCAGUGGCUUAACCAUUGUACGCUUUGGAAACUGGAGGACUUGAGUGCAGAAGGGGAGAGUGUAAGUCCAUGUAUAGCUGUGAGAUGCGUAGAUAUAUGGAGGAACCCCGGUGGCGAAGGCGGCUGUCUGGUCUGUAACUGACGCUGAGGCUCGAAAGCGUGGGGAGCAAACAGG
rnacentral:rRNA from 1 species